GAUGAACGCUAGCGGGAGGCUUAACACAUGCAAGCCGAGGGGUAUAGUUAGCUUGCUAACUAGAGACCGGCGCACGGGUGCGUAACGCGUAUGCAACUUGCCCUACUGAAAAGGAUAGCCCUUCGAAAGGAGGAUUAAUACUUUAUAAUAGAAAUCAUGGCAUCAUGAAUUUUUGAAAGAUUUAUCGCAGUAGGAUAGGCAUGCGUAAGAUUAGUUAGUUGGUGAGGUAACGGCUCACCAAGACGAUGAUCUUUAGGGGGCCUGAGAGGGUGAACCCCCACACUGGUACUGAGACACGGACCAGACUCCUACGGGAGGCAGCAGUGAGGAAUAUUGGACAAUGGGUGGAAGCCUGAUCCAGCCAUCCCGCGUGUAGGAUGACGGCCUUAUGGGUUGUAAACUACUUUUAUCUGGGGAUAAACCUACUUACGUGUAAGUAGCUGAAGGUACCAGAAGAAUAAGCACCGGCUAACUCCGUGCCAGCCGCCGCAGUAAAAC
rnacentral:rRNA from 1 species